rnacentral:rRNA from 1 species
CCUACGGGAGGCAGCAGUGAGGAAUAUUGGUCAAUGGACGAGAGUCUGAACCAGCCAAGUAGCGUGAAGGAUGACUGCCCUAUGGGUUGUAAACUUCUUUUAUAAAGGAAUAAAACGAGGCACGUGUGCCUUUUUGCAUGUACUUUAUGAAUAAGGAUCGGCUAACUCCGUGCCAGCAGCCGCGGUAAUACGGAGGAUCCGAGCGUUAUCCGGAUUUAUUGGGUUUAAAGGGAGCGUAGAUGGUUUGUUAAGUCAGUUGUGAAAGUUUGCGGCUCAACCGUAAAAUUGCAAUUGAUACUGGCAGUCUAGAGAACAGUUGAGGUAGGCGGAAUGCGUGGUGUAGCGGUGAAAUGCUUAGAGAUCACGAAGAACCCCGAUUGCGAAGGCAGCUUACUAAACUGUGACUGACAUUGAUGCACGAAAGUGUGGGUAUCAAACAGGAUUAGAUACCCCUGUAGUC